rnacentral:lncRNA from 1 species
UUUUUUCUAUUUUCUGCUGUUGUUUUUGAUUUAGUAAAAAUAGUAAACCACUUGGUAAAAUCCUGGAAAUAAUUUUAGGCACCUUUGAAAUAUCUCCCAACGGCCCUCAAGUACUUUCAGAAUUAUUUGGACAAUUAAAAAUAUUUAUAAGAUUUAAAUGUCCAAAUUCAAAUACUUAUGGAUUAAUUCAAAAAUCCAAAGUGUCCUAGAAAAAUGUGCACCAUUUUUGGCAGAGGUUCUAGACCAAUCCAAAGAUGAUGAACAUUUUUGGGAAGGCAUUUUGGGUUCAUUGAAAAUAUUUUUAUUUGAACCUAGUUGAAUUCUUUCUGAUGCUAGGGUUUGGUCAAUCCCUAUUUCAACUAAAAUAGAAUUUAAAAAUGAUGCAACAAGAUGCAAAACACGAGGCAAUACCAUAAGCUAGGGAUGUGACAGCUCACCCCCACUAAACAAGAAUCUUGUCCCGAGAUUCAAGACGUGAGGUAAGAAGAUAGAGGGGAUACAAAGCUAGCAUGAUCUUCAAGAUCCAUGUGCCCUCAUCGAAGAUGUUGAUUCGUUCUACCACAUGAUCUUGACGUCUUGUCCUUCGAGAUCUUUGUCCAACACGACACAAAGGAGAAAGGGAAACUCUAGAAGGAUCGAUCUUCUCGAAGAUCGAACAACCCAGGAUCAACUCACGGAAUGAGGCGUAGGAGUAUCUCUUGAGCUAAGACACGAGACACUCAUCGAGGUGAUAGGAAAUAGAAGGUGGUGGCUCGAUUUGGUAGGGAACAAUUCCACGCCUAAGUAGAUGGUGAGGGGGUUUCAAGGUAGCAAGGAGUUAAGUUGCCCAUGAUACCAUAACGGGACAUCUUAGGGGAGAUGACUCAUAGAGUUAUUCCCUUAAGUGGCAAAAAGAAUUACCUUUGAUACGGAGAUCAUUGAAACUCUCUAUACCAGCCUAAGGCAAUUCACCAAUAAUCAUUUGGUGAAGUUCAGAGGAAUGGCAUACCCGGACUAGAAUGGAUGAUGUGGACUACCUUAUUGAAGAUAACGCAAUGGAUGAUUUUUGCUUAUCAUCGGAAAUGGAUGGGACUCAGGGUAAGUCCACUUUUGUAGAUGAUAUUGGACAGCAACUACUGAGAAGGGAAGCCCAUGGGGAAUUGGCACAAUGGCGGUGCAAGCUGGGAACAAAAUGCAACUGUUGGGAAUGUUCCAACCAUCAUAUUUGCCUGAGAUUCAGAUCCGAUUGGUGAUAGGAUACUUCAGACUCAGUAUGUCUGAAAAGAAAGUUUGCAACACAAGUCGAUGAGAUGGCAUUGCAAGAUUCUCGGGAAAUGAACUACGAUAGCAAGCUCCAAAGCAUGAGCUGGUUCUGCUACAAACCUAUGAAGAAGUUGUCCAAGACAGGCAUGAUCACAUAGUAGUCUUACAAUAAAACACUACCGGGUUCAGAUGGGGAACCAUCAUUGAAAUAACGAAGUCUUGUGUAUGUCCGUCUGGGCCCUUCGGGAAUAGCAUUUAAACUUCUUAUCCUUGAACAAAUCAAUCAGUGGCGUCGUGUGCUAGGGAUACAUAUAGAAUGAAGGAUGCAAGUCUCCAAGCCAUAGAAUACUUCGCACAUGUGCAUGACUAACUUGGGAUGAUUCCAGAGGAAGCAAAACUAACUUUCUCGAAUUCACGGCGGCAACUUUCACCAAAUGCAUGUGAAUCAAAGGUAGUCAUUUCUUUCAUCCAAACAUAUGCUUCAUGAACGAAACACGAAGAAAUGCUUACACAAGUUUCCAACACUAGAUUGAUGUUCGACAUGAGCCAUGGAGAAGAUAAGAUGAUGCUGAUGGGCUCAACAACAAAUCAUAAAGAUUUCCAUGAAGAUGGAAUUCCACAACUAUGUGAACAAAGCAACAGCAUUGGUCAGAACAAAUGAUAUAAUGGUGUAUGCUCGAGGAACAACCAUGAGUAAGACAACACUAUGACAUCAUUGGUUCUGAUUUGAUAUGGUGAUAACCCAUACUCAAAUCAAAGUUUGAUACGACAAUAGGUCCAACAACUGAUCACAGGGACCAGUCGAUGAAGAUAUCAUCUAUCUUCAACACACGCAAAUAUAUCCCUUGAGAUGAACUAAGCUGGCAAGCUUUUAUCUUCGAACUCUCCAAGUUAUUGUUUAGCUUAACCAACUAGCUCAGGGGGUAACCGACACAGAUUCUUGGAGAAUGGCCGGUUUGCAAGAAACCAACUUGAUCACGAACUCCACAUAGCGGUCAGGUGACAACCUAGUAAUACUUUCGAGAAGAUAUUCGGAAAAUCACGAACCACCGACAUGAUACUAAGCUCGAGAUCAAUCUUGCUUUUCAAGGCAAGACGAUAUGAUCAAAUAAGCAAGGAUUGACACUAUCCUAACUCAUUGAUCAAAAAGUGCACCGGAAAUAAGGACUAGGUAGCACGAUAAACCUUAGGGUGAUGAUUCAAUAAUUAGCACACUAAGAAUGAUAUUAAUGUCCAUUAACUACCAAGCAAAGGGUUGCUAGGAGUAUUGAUUUCACACAUCAUGAUUUACUUGUCGGUAUUCCGGUUGCGACAGCACGACACCGAAGAAUGAAUAAUGAUGGCGAGAAGUAUCACUACAUCAAGAAUUUAUAAGGGAAGGUGCAAUUCUCAUGACAUUCCUGACAUAAAGUGGAUAAUACUUCAGGGUAGAACAGACCAAUAGCUUGAUUGCAUUUGAUCUGCGAAAUACAACUGCUUUGACCCAAUCCUAGAAAUGGAUGAGGUACUGGAGUUUGUUUCUCCUAGUCAUUCUGAAAUAGAACGGCUCGACGGACCACAAGAAUAAUAGGCACCGACGAACGAAUGCUCGCAUACUCUUGACUAUCAAUUGAUAGAUGAAGGUCGGAAUAUAACGGAAGGGGGACAACUCAAAGGAACAUAUAACUUCCUAAGUUGUGGAUGCAUAGAUUAGUAUGUCGAACGAGUUCAACAUAUUUCUUCCGGAUAACCCAUGCAAAAAGGUAGGGUUGGCAGAGUCACAACAUAGAAUGGAGAACUCAUCAGGAGCACUCUGUCGUGACCUUUUGGUUCAAAAGAACUCCUGCCAAGAAUGGUUCAUGAUAAUUGGAAGAAGGAUGUACCAUGAACCUCGAGGACUAUCGCAAAGGUUACUAAUAUCCAAACGGAACUAGCAACACUAUCAACAUGAGGUAAGUAGGGUGAAUCUCGGGUUCAAGAACCCAUGAAUAGAAUACCUACUACUACAUGGCAUCACGGGAUGCUUUCGAGAAUAAUGGCCAGAAUCACACACUAGGGAUACAAAACAUGGCUAAAUUACUAGGUGACUCCCUAAAACACCUAGGGUCAUAAUAAUAGCUCCAACAUAUAUGUCGAGGAGUAGAGUACCUCAACAGACCAUUAGUGUGCUUAAUCUGGCCCAAAAGGACAUCGGGAACGGAAAGAAGGGAUUUGCAAAUGCAUCAGACUAGUUAGAGACCUGGGGUGACUCGGACAGCAUAACGGCUGUAAAUGCUCAAAAGAUUUGAGACAUCCUGCAAAAUGGUGGCAUAACCACUCAACAACACAAUAUCAAGGUUCUGAUUCAACUGACAACAUACUAAAAGUAGUAGAAAUUGUACUGAGGCUUGUAACAACAAUCCUAUAAGCUACUACGGAUUAGUAGCACGUGAACCUGAUAGAAGGAGAGAGCCUAGUCCUUAACCCACGUAGAAUGAUAAGAGGAUGACUCAGAUCAGAGGGCAUAAGGUAAAGGAGUAAAAAGAGCCUUACGUUCCCUUCCACAAUCAAUUCCCUUACAUAACUAAAGCAUUUCUAGACUCGACUUCGACCAGUUGGCUUGAUAAUCCUACGGGCAGUCAAGCUCUGAUACCAAAGCUGUCAGGACCCCGAUUCCAAGUCACAUCGAUCUAGCCGGUAACACCUCAUAUCACUUUGCGGCCUCAUGCAUGGUAUUCCCACAGGUGUCGCCUUACCAUGGCCCGAGACCAUUUGCGCCUUUUGGCUCACGUAUAUGAUAGUGUCGCUAGCAUCCAUAUGACAGAUAACUCGGGCCGACAUGGCUAGCCGUGAACCCAAAGCAGAACUAACCUAUGGGGACAGGCAUACAUGAAUCACAUCGAGCAUGUCGGUCAGCAGCGUGUGAAUCCGGGUUGUAGCACUAGGCUAACAGGACUCCAGGAACCCGGGCUGUAGCAGGCUAGGCAGGACUCCGGAUGUCACCGCGCGACAUUUCCCCAAAGGGACAGACACAGGAACGAAGUGAAACACAUGCUGGCCAGUCAAGUGUCCUGAGCAGUAGUGCUGGGCUAACAGGACUCCGGUGAACCGGGCUGUAGCGGACUACUAUGGCUCAUGGAAGCACUAGACUACAUUUCCCCAUAAGAGAGGCUACCAGGGAUAAAGAACUAGAUUGUCGGAUCCCACACAUACCAAGCAUUUCAAUCAUACACACAAUAUGCUCGAUAUGUGUAAAUACAACAUGGCAUCACAACAUAACUCUACAACUCAAGUAUUUAUUCAUUAGGCUCCGAGGAGCCAAGUAUUACAAACAUGGGUCUAAUGACCCAACAUACAGAGCAUACAAGCAACAAGCACAUGCGAAAGAUUAACUUGUCUGAGUAUAGACAACUACAAAUGAAGAAGACUGAGAAGCCUGACUAUCUACAAGACCCUGCCGAGGGCACAAGAUCGUAGCUGAGGUAACAAGCUAAACAUCGAAGUCCACACGAAACUACUAGCGAGACUGACGUCUCUCUGCAAAACAUAAAUUAAGGAAACGUGAGUACAAAUGUACUCAGCAAGACUUACAUCAUAACUAACUACAUAUGCAUCGGUAUCAACAAGGGGGGUGGUGGAGUUUAACUGCAGCAAGCCAGCUUUGACUCAGUGGCUAACCUGAACUACGACUGCAAGCAACUCUUUUGAGGUGCCGCACACGAGUCCACAUAUUCACCAUACCAAUACACCACUAUGGAUCCGCUCCCGUCUCCCUACGAGAACGCCAUCCAUAGCACUCACGCUUAUCUUGCGCAUUUUAGAGUAUCCACUUUCACUUGUCUAUGAACUGUAUAGGCAACCAAGCAGUCCUUUACCGCGGACACGGCUAUUCGAAUAGAUGAUGUUAACCCUGCAGGGGUGUACUUCUUCACACACGCUCUCACCACUUACCGUUGUUUACACGGCAUGUACUCGGCAACCUUCAAGCAGAAGCCCAACGAGGGUGUCGUCCACGGCCUACCUAAACACUCAAGUCUCUAGUCCAGGUUUAUCGCCUAUCCAGGUUCCAUCCGCAGGGAGUCCGGCCGAGGUUUCCACAUACGGCCCCGAACGAUGUGUACAGGGUUCCGAGACACCAAACGGGCGCCCGGCAUGCCCGGCCACGGUGUAUCUACCGCAACAUAGCCCACCCCUAGGGUCAGCGCUACUCACGGCCGCCAACACAUAUCCUAUAAACACCAGAAAUUAGUUGCAACUCCUGGAUAGAGGACUAGAGUGGUUAAGAAGCCGAGUGGGUCCAUUGGUUUCGGUCCCAAUGCAUGGUAGUAGCUGGUUCUUAAAUCACACAUACAGAUCUCAGUUCUUAAGGACGGCCUCAAUGAAACAACCCACCAUGUACUCCUACAUGGCCUCUCAUCGAUACCUUUACCAAAUCGUGUUCAACACACUUAGCUCACACACAGUAGGACAUGUUCAUCGCCAUUCCAAUUCAUCCGCGAUGAAUCAGACCUGACUCAACUCUAAGCAGUAGCAGGCAUGACAAGCAAGCAUGAAUUAGUAGGCACAUCAGGGCUCAAACAACUCCUACUCAUGCUAGUGGGUUUCAUCUAUUUACUGUGGCAAUGACAGGUCAUGCAGAGGAAAGGGGUUCAGCUACCGCAUCAUGUAACAGUUGAAACGGUGUUGUCCUAAUGUAGUAAAAUAGAACGGGAGCGAGAGAGUGGGAUUGUAUCGGAAUGAACAAGGGGGUUUUGCUUGCCUGGAACUUCUGAAGAUAGUAUAGUUCUUCAUCGGUGUCAUCGAAUUCAUCGCUGGAUCAACGUCUACUUAGGGGGGACAAACACCGGCAACUGAGAAAGAACACAAUCAACACAUGACGAUAUGCAACAAUAUGAUGCAUUCUAUGACAUGGCAAUAUGAAUGUGUGUUUGGGCUAGUGCAAGCUAGAACAUAUUGAAAUGAGUCCAUUUGAACCAAAGAUUCAAAUGCAAACCCAUUUUAUGAAGUCAUAUUAGUGCAUUAACUUGUUUCACCUAAACAGCAAGGUUAAAGUGUUCUAACAUGCAUGAAGCUAGUACAGAUGGAAAGAUUGGAUUUUUCUGAUCAUUUUUCAUAUAGAAUUUAUCUUAUUUGGAGUUAUAGAUAAUUUUCCAUGAUUUUUAGAAGUUUUGGGCAUUUUCUGGAAUUUCCUGAAUAAACUUAAAUCCAGAAAAUGAUUUAUAGCGUCAGCAUGACGACUACACGAUGUCAGCAGGUAAACAACGCCAGUCCAGGUCAAGCCUGACGGCUGGGACCCACACGUCAGUGGUUAAUUAAACUAACUAAAUAAAUUAACACUAACCUAGGUUAAUUAGCAGGGUUGGCCCCACGCGUCAGUGACCUAGGGUGGUCAAACCCCCGGGUCAACUCGCUGGAGUUGACCCGCGGCUCAUCGCCGGCGAAGCCCGAGACGGUGGAGGGGCUCUGGAUUUGCCCACGAUUGACCAAAUCGGUCGCGGUUUGGUCCUACGCGUAGCUGGGGCUCGCGCGCAUCUAGUAGGGCAUGCGGGAGGAGCUGGGGUGGAGUGAGCUCGCCGGAGUUGAGCUCGUGGCGGCGGCCGGUGUUCGGCGUUAGCGGGUUAGGCGCUAAGGCGCACCUCGGGGCGAGCAAGUGUGUGCGUUCGGCUCCUGGGAGCGUGCUGAUCACGAAGACAAGCUCAGACACGAGCUUUGCUAGCUCUGUCUAUGGCGGCGAUGAGGCUUGACGGUGGUGAGCUUCGGAGCUCAUGGGGACGGCAGCUACAGGAUGCUAGGGACGACGGGGCAAGGGGGAAUCGAGUCAGCGGCUCACCGCGGAGCUGCAGGGAUGGUUAGCGGGCUCGGGGGCAUCCGGUAGCUCUCGAAUCGACGGUGAGAAUCCACGAUGGACGGUGAUGGAGACGUUGUGGCGCAUCCGUAGCUCCAUGGCUUGGUGGAGAGGAUGAGGAAGUCGAGGCGAAGCUCGUGGGCACAUCGGAGAAGCAAGGGCGAGGCGGUGGCUGCGGCAGCAGCGAGCGGCGGCGACGAGCUCCGCUCGGUGCGGGAGAGAGGGAGCCAGAGGAGGGGGAGAAGGCACGGGAGAGAGUGAGAGGGUCGAGAGGGAGUGCGUGGCAUCGCGGAGGGAGUCCAGGGCGACGAGGGGGCAGCCAGGCAGGCAGUUGCCGGCGUGGCACGCCGCGGCGCCGUGGCUGUCUUCUCCUCUGCCUUCUGGCAGGAAGAAGAAGAUGCCCCUGCCCUCGGUGGGCCGGCCAGGUGGUUGGGCUGCCAGGUGGGCUGGGCCUGCAGGUAACACAGGUAGUCUCUCUCUCUCUCUCUCUCUCUCUCUCUCUCUCUCUCUCUCUCUCUCUCUCUCUCUCUUAUUUCUAUUUUUUCUAUUUUCUAUUGUUGUUUUUGAUUUAGUAAAAAUAAUAAACCACUUGGUAAAAUCCUAGAAAUAAUUUUAGGCACCUUUGAAAUAUCUCCCAACGGCCCUCAAGUACUUUCAGGAUUAUUUGGACAAUUAAAAAUAUUUAUAAGAUUUAAAUGUCCAAAUUCAAAUACUUAUGGAUUAAUUCAAAAAUCCAAAGUGUCCUAGAAAAAUGUGC